GUCCACGCUGUAAACGAUGGGCACUAGGUGUCGCGGGUAUUGACCCCUGCGGUGCCGCAGCUAACGCAUUAAGUGCCCCGCCUGGUGACUACGGCCGCAAGGUUAAAACUCAAAGGAAUUGACGGGGGCCCGCACAAGCGGUGGAGCAUGUGGUUCAAUUCGACGCAACGCGAAGAACCUUACCCGGGCUAGACAACAGAGGACAGCCUUAGAAAUAAGGUCUUCCCUUCGGGGACCUCUGGUUCAGGUGCUGCAUGGCUGUCGU
rnacentral:rRNA from 1 species